rnacentral:rRNA from 1 species
GCUUGUCUCAAAGAUUAAGCCAUGCAUGUCUAAGUAUAAACACCUUUAUACUGUGAAACUGCGUACAGCUCAUUAAAUCAGUAAUAAUUUAUUUGAUGGUGACUUACUACAUGGAUAACCGUAGUAACCUAGAGCUAAUACAUGCACAAAAUCCCGACUUCACGGAAGGGAUGUAUUUAUUAGAUAAAAAACCAAUCCGGCAACGGUGCUUGGUGAUUCAUAAUAACCGAACGAAUCGUAUGGCAUCAGCUGGCGAUGAAUCAUUCAAGUUUCUGACCUAUCAGCUUCCGACGGUAGGGUAUUGGCCUACCGUGGCAAUGACGGGUAACGGAGAAUUAGGGUUCGAUUCCGGAGAGGGAGCCUGAGAAACGGCUACCACAUCUAAGGAAGGCAGCAGG